rnacentral:lncRNA from 1 species
GAACUCUGGGGGGCUGUAUUUAUAGUUGCUAGGUUACUGCUGUGCCCGCUGGUGCUGAGUCUCAGUGAGCGUGGGCCUGCGGCCUCCGUGGGGACUGCAGGUCUGGGUCCUCUGUGUGCCCCGGGGCCAGGCCAAAACCAGGCUGGAACCCGCCGGCAGGGCCCCCGAGGCGCCUCUGCCUGCUCUCUCCGUUCUUGCCGGCGGCAGCGAUUCGGACUCCCGCUUUCGACAAAGUCUCAGCUCCGCAGCAGCACCCGGCGCGGACUCGCUGGGCGCGCGGACUGAGCUCCGGGUGGAACCAGGACCCUCGCGCCCUCGCCCUCGCCCUCGCCCUCGCCCUCGCCCGAGCUGGACCACCGCGAGCACCGCCGACGCCAGCCGCAGAGCCGCGGGUGCGCGGGGAAGAGGAAACGAAAGCGCGGGCUCCGGAGCUGAGGUGAGAAGUGAGCAGAAAGUGAAAAGAGAAUCCAUCGGAAACAGAUAAAAAAGGAAAAACAAAACCCACUCGAAAAGAAAGAAAACGUUACAACAAAAAGGAUAAAGUAACGCUAAAUGAAAUAAAAAGGAGACAUACUAAAAACGUUAAAGUUGUUAAACUAAGUGAUAGAAAAGGCGAAGAAACAA